GCGGAGGAAAAGAAACUAACAGGAUUCCCCUAGUAACUGCGAGUGAAGCGGGAAAAGCUCAAAUUUGAAAUCUGGUAGUCUUUUUGUGGCUGCCCGAGUUGUAAUCUAGAGAAGCAUUUAUCCGCGCUGGACCGUGUACAAGUGUCUUGGAAUAGACCAUCAUAGAGGGUGAGAAUCCCGUCUUUGACCACGGACUACCAGGGCUUUUGUGAUGUGCUCUCAAAGAGUCGAGUUGUUUGGGAAUGCAGCUCUAAAUGGGUGGUAAAUUCCAUCUAAAGCUAAAUAAUGGCAAGAGACCGAUAGUGAACAAGUACCGUGAGGGAAAGAUGAAAAGAACUUUGGAAAGAGGGUUAAACAGUACGUGAAAUUGCUGAAAGGGAAGCGCUUGAAGUCAGUCGCGUUGACUGGGGUUCAACCUUUGCUUAUAAGCAUGGGUUUAUUUCCCAGUUGACGGGUCAGCAUCAGUUUUGAACUCAAUGGAUAAAGGCUCAAGGGAAUGUGGCACCCUCGGGUGUGUUUAUAGCCCUUGGUCAUAUMCAUUGGUUGGGACUGAGGAACUCGGGCAAAAAGGGCUUUAUUGCUGCUUUAUUGCUUAUAGGAUGCUGGCAUAAUGGCUUUAAGCGACCCGUCUUGAAACACGGACCAAGGAGUCUAACAUGCACGCAAGUGUUUGAGUGGAAAACUCAAGCGCGUAAUGAAAGUGAAUAGAGUUGAGAUCCCUUUGGGGAGCAUUGACGCCCAGACCAGAGCUUUUUCAGCAAUGGAUCUGCGGUUGAGCGUGUAUGUUGGGACCCGAAAGAUGGUGAACUAUGCCUGAAUAGGGUGAAGCCAGAGGAAACUCUGGUGGAGGCUCGUAGCGAUUCUGACGUGCAAAUCGAUCGUCAAAUUUGGGUAUAGGGGCGAAAGACUAAUCGA
rnacentral:rRNA from 1 species